rnacentral:rRNA from 1 species
UACGAACCGAGCGAACGUUGUUCGGAAUCACUGGGCUUAAAGGGCGCGUAGGCGGAUUUGCAAGUCCGUGGUGAAAUCCCACAGCUCAACUGUGGAACUGCCUCGGAUACUGUGAGUCUCGAGGGUGGUAGGGGUAUGCGGAACUAUCGGUGGAGCGGUGAAAUGCGUUGAUAUCGAUAGGAACUCCGGUGGCGAAGGCGGCAUACUGGACCACAUCUGACGCUGAGGCGCGAAAGCCAGGGGAGCAAACGGG